rnacentral:misc_RNA from 1 species
GCAGAAAUAGAUGCCCAAUCAAAAAGCAUCUUAGUGUGUUCAAUGUGAAAAGCUAAAUUUUGUGUAUGCUCCUACAGCCAAUAUGUGGUGUAUAUGGCAGCAGCUACUUUUAAAAUCAAGCAUUCCCUUGUACUAUAUAUGCAGAAAUAUCUCAUCUGACAACCAUGUGAAAUACCAUUGUGAUCAGACAACCAUUUGGAUUGAAAAUAGCUAACCUUUCUGACAAAAAUAUGUAAAAGCUGAGCUGAAUG